rnacentral:tRNA from 1 species
GGCCCCAUCGUCUAGAGGUUAGGACACAUGGUUCUCAGCCAUGGAACAGGGGUUCAAUUCCCCUUGGGGCUA